GGAUUGCGCAAUCUGAGGUGAGGCUCGUUUUUUUUUUUUUUUUACUUUCUCUGCCUCCCCUGACCGCAUGUCCCUGCUGAGGCUGGUUUGCUGUGAUCAUGCUUGGCUACUGGGUAUGAGAGCUUCAACAGCAGUAAGUGUAUGGGCAUGCAUGGGUGGGUGUGCCUACGUUUUUGUCUGCCUUCAAAUGAUACAUUAUUCCAAUUCAAUUUUAGGUUUGAUUAUUUUUUACAAAUAUUAUAUGAUUUGUUCUUCAUAUCUGUAUGUGGUCGUACACAUAUACGAAAUAGAUAUGUGUGUGUGUGUGUGUGUGUGUGUGUGUGUGUGUAGGCUAGUCAUAGGGAUGGUGUGGUGUAAAGCCUGUGGAAACAGCGUGGGUGUGUGUGUGGACCGCUGCUGUGACAUCUGCUGCCAGGGCUGUGUGAGCUGCUGUGGUUGCCUGUGCCCCCGUGACUGUCUCUACACAUUCUGUGCCAUGUAUUACCGCCUUGCCCACUACUGUUCUGUCGGUCAGAAACCAGAGCCGGCCUAUGCCAUGCCUGGAUCACAGAAAUGCUUCAGUGUGGGAGAAGAGGUGUAGAUGCCACUUUGGCCAAGUUGACGGAGACACAGCGGAGACAGAUGGCCCCAAUGGCAGUCCUCCUCACCCAAAUGUUCCAUCAUCUUUCACCUCUGUCUGUAUUGAUUGGGUCACCAUUUGCUUUUGAGUAGAUUGUUAAGCAUUCUGUGCUUAUUAUUUUGUGAUUGUAUUUUUUUUUAUCAUGUAUACCCAUACUAGCAAUGUUUCUGUGCUCGAUAACAAAAGUUAACAAAUGAUGGCAAUUUCAAUAAAGGCGCUGCCACGCAAAUUCA
rnacentral:lncRNA from 1 species